CGCGGCCUAUCAGCUUGUUGGUGGGGUAAUGGCCUACCAAGGCGACGACGGGUAGCCGGCCUGAGAGGGCGACCGGCCACACUGGGGCUGAGACACGGCCCAGACUCCUACGGGAGGCAGCAGUGGGGAAUAUUGCACAAUGGGCGAAAGCCUGAUGCAGCGACGCCGCGUGAGGGAUGACGGCCUUCGGGUUGUAAACCUCUUUCAGCAGGGACGAAGCGUAAGUGACGGUACCUGCAGAAGAAGCGCCGGCCAACUACGUGCCAGCAGCCGCGGUAAGACGUAGGGCGCGAGCGUUGUCCGGAUUUAUUGGGCGUAAAGAGCUCGUAGGCGGCUUGUCGCGUCGACUGUGAAAACCCGCAGCUCAACUGCGGGCCUGCAGUCGAUACGGGCAGGCUAGAGUUCGGUAGGGGAGACUGGAAUUCCUGGUGUAGCGGUGGAAUGCGCAGAUAUCAGGAGGAACACCGGUGGCGAAGGCGGGUCUCUGGGCCGAUACUGACGCUGAGGAGCGAAAGCGUGGGGAGCGAACAGGAUUAGAUACCCUGGUAGUCCACGCUGUAAACGUUGGGCGCUAGGUGUGGGGGACCUCUCCGGUUCUCUGUGCCGCAGCUAACGCAUUAAGCGCCCCGCCUGGGGAGUACGG
rnacentral:rRNA from 1 species